rnacentral:rRNA from 1 species
GAUGAACGCUGGCGGCGUGCCUAAUACAUGCAAGUCGAGCGAACGGACGAGAAGCUUGCUUCUCUGAUGUUAGCGGCGGACGGGUGAGUAACACGUGGAUAACCUACCUAUAAGACUGGGAUAACUUCGGGAAACCGGAGCUAAUACCGGAUAAUAUUUUGAACCGCAUGGUUCAAAAGUGAAAGACGGUCUUGCCGUCACUUAUAGAUGGAUCCGCGCUGCAUUAGCUAGUUGGUAAGGUAACGGCUUACCAAGGCAACGAUGCAUAGCCGACCUGAGAGGGUGAUCGACCACACUGGAACUGAGACACGGUCCAGACUCCUACGGGAGGCAGCAGUAGGGAAUCUUCCGCAAUGGGCGAAAGCCUGACGGAGCAACGCCGCGUGAGUGAUGAAGGUCUUCGGAUCGUAAAACUCUGUUAUUAGGGAAGAACAUAUGUGUAAGUAACUGUGCACAUCUUGACGGUACCUAAUCAGAAAGCCACGGCUAACUACGUGCCAGCAGCCGCGGUAAUACGUAGGUGGCAAGCGUUAUCCGGAAUUAUUGGGCGUAAAGCGCGCGUAGGCGGUUUUUUAAGUCUGAUGUGAAAGCCCACGGCUCAACCGUGGAGGGUCAUUGGAAACUGGAAAACUUGAGUGCAGAAGAGGAAAGUGGAAUUCCAUGUGUAGCGGUGAAAUGCGCAGAGAUAUGGAGGAACACCAGUGGCGAAGGCGACUUUCUGGUCUGUAACUGACGCUGAUGUGCGAAAGCGUGGGGAUCAAACAGGAUUAGAUACCCUGGUAGUCCACGCCGUAAACGAUGAGUGCUAAGUGUUAGGGGGUUUCCGCCCCUUAGUGCUGCAGCUAACGCAUUAAGCACUCCGCCUGGGGAGUACGACCGCAAGGUUGAAACUCAAAGGAAUUGACGGGGACCCGCACAAGCGGUGGAGCAUGUGGUUUAAUUCGAAGCAACGCGAAGAACCUUACCAAAUCUUGACAUCCUUUGACAACUCUAGAGAUAGAGCCUUCCCCUUCGGGGGACAAAGUGACAGGUGGUGCAUGGUUGUCGUCAGCUCGUGUCGUGAGAUGUUGGGUUAAGUCCCGCAACGAGCGCAACCCUUAAGCUUAGUUGCCAUCAUUAAGUUGGGCACUCUAAGUUGACUGCCGGUGACAAACCGGAGGAAGGUGGGGAUGACGUCAAAUCAUCAUGCCCCUUAUGAUUUGGGCUACACACGUGCUACAAUGGACAAUACAAAGGGCAGCGAAACCGCGAGGUCAAGCAAAUCCCAUAAAGUUGUUCUCAGUUCGGAUUGUAGUCUGCAACUCGACUACAUGAAGCUGGAAUCGCUAGUAAUCGUAGAUCAGCAUGCUACGGUGAAUACGUUCCCGGGUCU